UCUAGUAGACACUAGCACUCGAGUUCCC
rnacentral:piRNA from 1 species